UGAAAUCACACAUUUGAAGUAACCGCGGGCUCUAGGGCAUCAUCUUACCGUUAAAGUCACUCGUGAGAACGAAACGGCUGAUUUGAGAGCAGUAUUUUGGGGCGCAGCGAGGCGCAUUUGAGUCGGCCUGAGAUGUUGAGCAUUCCAGGUGAAGUUCGGCUGCUGUGAAGUAUCCUGACUUGACCAGGUCUGAGAGUGUCUAUCCUGAAAUCAAGGAGGCAUUCCAGCAAGAUGUUUUGCCUACUCACAGCCGGAUAAGGGAACAGGACACAGGCUGCCACACUGUCUUGUUAUUGUCAUCUCUUUAUGUUUCCUGAUCUCUGCACUUCAUCUCUGGCCCAGAUUUCCUUAUUGCUAUCUGUAAUCACAUCCUGCCUUGGAAAUGUCAGACUUGAGCCUGAGGAGUACAGUCACUCCAACAGCUUCCACUCUGGGCCCUUCUCCUGUGUUAAUAGGGUAAGAUGUGGUUAGACAUUAAAUCGAAUUACUGGAGUCCUUUCCAUCAACAGAACACUGCCUGAGGCUGGCAUCAAUAAAUGGUGUGGAUCCUUGGUCUAGCCAAUUGUUCUGAGUAGGAAUAAAGUAAACCUCAGUUUAUCACAA